AUCUACAGUAACAGUUUGAAUCUUAAAAACGCUCUCCUGAAAACCACUACUUUUGACAUGUCGCUUUAUACGUAGGGACCGUCGAAAUAGAAAAAAAAUUAAAUUCCUAAAA